rnacentral:rRNA from 1 species
AGAUUAAGUUAUUAAGGGCGCACGGUGGAUGCCUUGGCACUAGAAGCCGAUGAAGGACGUUACUAACGACGAUAUGCUUUGGGGAGCUGUAAGUAAGCUGUGAUCCAGAG